GACGAACGCUGGCGGCGUGCUUAACACAUGCAAGUCGUACGGUAAGGCCCUUUCGGGGGUACACGAGUGGCUAACGGGUGAGUAACACGUGAGUAACCUGCCCACAACUUUGGGAUAACGCUAGGAAACUGGUGCUAAUACUGGAUAUGUGCUCCUGCUGCAUGGUGGGGGUUGGAAAGCUCCGGCGGUUGUGGAUGGACUCGCGGCCUAUCAGCUUGUUGGUGGGGUAGUGGCCUACCAAGGCGGCGACGGGUAGCCGGCCUGAGAGGGUGACCGGCCACAUUGGGACUGAGAUACGGCCCAGACUCCUACGGGAGGCAGAAGUGGGGAAUAUUGCACAAUGGGCGCAAGCCUGAUGCAGCAACGCCGCGUGCGGGAUGACGGCCUUCGGGUUGUAAACCGCUUUCAGCAGGGACGAAGCUUUUUGUGACGGUACCUGCAGAAGAAGCACCGGCUAACUACGUG
rnacentral:rRNA from 1 species